rnacentral:rRNA from 1 species
AGUGAACGCUGGCGGCGUGCCUAAUACAUGCAAGUCGAACGGAGUGGCGCACGGGUGAGUAAUAUAUAGCAAAUUUCCCCCUUGAUGGAGAUCAACAGUUAAAAAUGUCUGUUAUUACUCCUUAGCAAGGGAGGAGACUAUAUCGUAUCAGCUAGUCGGUGGGGUAACGGCCUACCGAGGCUAUGAAGCGUAACUGGUCUGAGAGGAUGAUCAGUCACAUGGGAACGGAGACACGGUCCAAACGCCUACGGGAGGGAGCAGUAGGGAAUAUUGCGCAAUGGGGGAAACCCUGACGCAGCAACGCCGCGUGGAGGAUGACACUUUGCGGAGCGGAAACUCCUUUUGUUAGGGAAGCGUUACCUAACGAAUAAGCACCGGCUAACUCCGUGCCAGCAGCCGCGGUAAUUC